UACGUAGGUGGCAAGCGUUAUCCGGAUUUACUGGGUGUAAAGGUCGUGUAGGCGGGACUGCAAGUCAGAUGUGAAAAUUAUGGGCUCAACCCAUAACCUGCAUUUGAAACUGUAGUUCUUGAGUGAUGGAGAGGCAGGCGGAAUUCCGUGUGUAGCGGUGAAAUGCGUAGAUAUACGGAGGAACACCAGUGGCGAAGGCGGCCUGCUGGACAUUAACUGACGCUGAGGCGCGAAAGCGUGGGGAGCAAACAGG
rnacentral:rRNA from 1 species